rnacentral:rRNA from 1 species
GACGAACGCUGGCGGCGGGCUUAACACAUGCAAGUCGAACGGAAAGGCCCUGCUUUUUUGGGGUGCUCGAGUGGCGAACGGGUGAGUAACACGUGAGUAAGCUGCCCUUGACUUUGGGAGGACUUCAGGAAACUGGGGCUAAUACUACAUAGGAGCUCCUGCUGCAUGGUGGGGGGUGGAAAGUUUCGGCGGUUGGGGAUGGACUCGCGGCUUAUCAGCUUGCUGGUGGGGUAGUGGCUUACCAAUGCUUUGACGGGUAGCCGGCCUGAGAGGGUGACCGGCCACAUUGGUACUGAGGUACGGCGCAGACGCCUACGGGAGGCAGCAGUGGGGAAUAUUGCGCAAUGAGCGGAAGCCUGAUGCAGCAACGCCGCGUGCGGGAUGACGGCCUUCGGGUUGUAAACCGCUUUCGCCUGUGACGAAGAGUGAGUGACGGUAAUGGGUGAAGAAGCACCGGCUAACUACGUG